UUAAAAAGCUCGUAGUCGGAUUUGGCUGAGAACGGUCGGUCCGCCGUUAGGUGUUGCACUGACUGGUCUCAGCUUCCUGGUGAGGAGGUGUGCUUCAUCGCCACUUAGUCACCGUGGUUACUUUGAAAAAAUUAGAGUGUUCAAAGCGGGCUUACGCUUGAAUAUAUUAGCAUGGAAUAACACCAUAGGACUCCUGUCCUAUUUCGUUGGUCUCGGGACGGGAGUAAUGAUUAAGAGGAACAGUUGGGGGCAUUCGUAUUUCAUUGUCAGAGGUGAAAUUCUUGGAUUUAUGAAAGACGAACUUCUGCGAAAGCAUUUGC
rnacentral:rRNA from 1 species